UACGUAGGGUGCGAGCGUUGUCCGGAAUUACUGGGCGUAAAGAGCUCGUAGGUGGUUUGUCGCGUUGUUCGUGAAAUCUCACGGCUUAACUGUGAGCGUGCGGGCGAUACGGGCAGACUAGAGUACUGCAGGGGAGACUGGAAUUCCUGGUGUAGCGGUGGAAUGCGCAGAUAUCAGGAGGAACACCGGUGGCGAAGGCGGGUCUCUGGGCAGUUGCUGACACUGAGGCGCGACAGCGUGGGGAGCAAACAGG
rnacentral:rRNA from 1 species